UUACGGUCAAAUCACGCUGAAAACACCGGUUCUCGUUCGAUCACCGAAGUUAAAACAUCGGUUCUCGUUCCAGGUCAGUACUUAGAUGGGGGACCGCUUGGGAACACCUGGUACUGUAAG